CCAACAUUUACGCAUUGUCAGCUAAGCAAAUACAAAACAAGCUUUCCUUUCUGGGGGCCAGGGCAGGCGAAGUAAACAAUUCUCAAAAGACUAGCUUAAAAACCUCCACCAAAAAGCUUUGCAAAGAUAUAACCUGUGCAACAUGGUCUAAAAAAGCUUUACAUCAAUAUGACAAUCGGGUACAUUUCCAAUCCCAAGCAAUCACAUUAUUUCUAUGCCAGCAAAACUCAGGUCUCAUAACUUCAAACAACCCAUCUCUCUUAGUGAUGAGCCUUUGCUUCAGCUUUCUUG
rnacentral:misc_RNA from 1 species